UUUCACCUCUUUCAUCCGAGAUUACCCGCUGAACUUAAGCAUAUCAAUAAGCGGAGGAAAAGAAAAACAGGGAUUGCCUCAGUAACGGCGAGUGAAGCGGCAAAAGCUCAAAUUUGAAACCCUCGGGAUUUGAAAUUUGGCAUUGGAGAAAAGCUAACCCAAGUUACUUGGAAUAGUACGUCAUAGGGUGACAACCCCCUGGCUAACCGUUCUCCAUGUAUUGCCUUAUCAAAGAGAGUUCGUUUGGGGCAGCUCAAAGUGGGUGGAAACUCCAUCUAAAGCUAAAACUGGUGAGAGACCGAUAGCGAACAAGUACUGUGAAGGAAAGGUGAAAAGAAUUUGAAAAGAGAGUGAAAUAGUAUGUGAAAUUGUUGAUAGGGAAGGAAAAAGCGGAGAGUGGUUGAGGUUUCAGCCUCCCUUUGGGGUGGUGUAUUGCCGACGCCGAGUCAUUGUCCGCGAGACGAGAAAAAACAAACGGGUUGCAUUCAUGCUUCUCACCUUUCUCCCACUGCAGUCAACGACAUAAUCCGCCCAUUUCACCCGUCUUGAAACACGGACCAAGGAGUCUAAUGGAUAUGUGUGUUAGGGUGGCAAACCCCAGCGCGCAAUGAAAGUGAAUGAUUCGUUCAGAAUCGAACGAACUUUUAUGACAGUUUUGAGUAAACACAUCCAUUGGGACCCGAAAGAUGGUGAACUAUGCCUGAAUAGGGUGAAGUCAGAGGAAACUCUGAUGGAGGCUCGUAGCGGUUCUGACGUGCAAAUCGAUCGUAGAAUUUGGGUAUAGGGGCGAAAGACUAAUCGAACCAUCUAGUAGCUGGUUCCUGCCGAAGUUUCCCUCAGGAUAGCAGAAGCUCAUAUCAGUUUUAUGAGGUAAAGCGAAUGAUUAGAAGUAUUGGGGGCGAAAUGCCCUCGGCUUAUUCUCAAACUUUAAAUAUGUAAGAAGUCUUGGUUACUUAAUCGAACUUAGACUACGAAUGAAGAGCUUCUAGUGGGCCAUUUUUGGUAAGCAGAACUGGCGAUGCGGGAUGAACCGAACGUGGAGUUAAGGUGCCGGAAUACACGCUCAUCAGACACACAAAAGGUGUUAGUUUAUCUAGACAGCCGGACGGUGGCCAUGGAAGUCGGAAUCCGCUAAGGAGUGUGUCACAACUCACCGGCCGAAUGAACUAGCCCUGAAAAUGGAUGGCGCUUAAGCGUGUUACCUAUACUCUACCGAGAGGAGGUUUCCUCUCGAGUAGGCAGGCGUGGGGGUUGUUGAGAAGCGUUGGCCGUGAGGCUGCGUCGAACGGUAGAUCUUGGUGGUAGUAAAUAUUCAAAUGAGAACUUUGAAGACUGAAGUGGGGAAGGUUCCGUGUGAACAGCAGUUGGACACGGGUAAGUCGAUCCUAAGGGGUGGCAUAACUGUCGCGUACGGCCCGAAGGGCCUUCUCCAAAAGGGAAGCUGGUUGAAAUUCCAGCACUUGGAUGUGGAUUCUCCACGGUAACGUAACUGAAUGUGGGGACGGUGGCACAAGUCUUGGAAGGAGUUAUCUUUUCUUUUUAACGGAGUCAACACCCUGGAAUUAGUUUGUCUAGAGAUAGGGUAUCGUUCCGGAAGAGGGGGCAGU